rnacentral:lncRNA from 1 species
GGUCUGUUUUGCCUGAACCCAUCAACAACGGGGGAGAUUAAUCAACCACACUGAAAACGG